UCCGGUUGAUCCUGGCGGAGGUUACUGCUAUCGAGGUUCGACUAAGCCAUGCGAGUCGAAUGUAGCAAUACAUGGCGUACUGCUCAGUAACACGUGGACAACCUACCCUUAGGUCGGGGAUAAACCCGGGAAACUGGGUAUAAUACCCGAUAGUCCUCGGAUGCUGGAAUGCACCAAGGUCUAAAGCUCCGGCGCCUAAGGAUGGGUCUGCGGCCUAUCAGGUAGUAGUGGGUGUAGCGUACCUACUAGCCUACGACGGGUACGGGUUGUGAGAGCAAGAGCCUGGAGAUGGAUUCUGAGACACGAAUCCAGGCCCUACGGGGUGCAGCAGGCGCGAAAACUUUACAAUGCUGGAAACAGCGAUAAGGGGACCUUGAGUGCCAGGUUACAAAUCUGGCUGUCGUGAUGCCUAAAAAGCAUUGCAUAGCAAGGGCCGGGCAAGACCGGUGCCAGCCGCGGUAGCACCGGCGGCUCGAGUGGUAACCGCUAUUAUUGGGUCUAAAGGGUCUGUAGCCGGCCGGAUAAGUCUUUUGGGAAAUCUGGCAGCUUAACUGUCAGGCUUUCAGAGGAUACUGUCUGGCUCGAGGCCGGGAGAGGUGAGAGGUACUUCAGGGGUAGGGGUGAAAUCUUGUAAUCCUUGAAGGACCACCAGUGGCGAAGGCGUCUCACCAGAACGGACCUGACGGCAAGGGAC
rnacentral:rRNA from 1 species